rnacentral:rRNA from 1 species
UACAGAGGGUGCGAGCGUUGUCCGGAAUCACUGGGCGUAAAGGGCGCGUAGGCGGCUUGAUAAGCGUGCGGUGAAAGCCCGGGGCUCAACCCCGGGUCGGCCGUGCGAACUGUCGAGCUGGAGCACUGUAGAGGCAGGUGGAAUUCCGGGUGUAGCGGUGGAAUGCGUAGAGAUCCGGAAGAACACCGGUGGCGAAGGCGGCCUGCUGGGCAGUGGCUGACGCUGAGGCGCGACAGCGUGGGGAGCAAGCAGG